CCAGACGCCACACCUUUAAGAGCACAUCACGUGACGCAGGUUCCAAAUUAGUCGCGCGUCAAAAUAUCCUCGUGUAACACAUUGACAUACAUUACCGGCAGUUAAAAAAGUGGGCAACAAACAACUGGAUUAUCGCCGACAGCAUUAAGAGGAAAAAUGUUUAUCAAAAUAGUUUGAUUGCAAUUAAACUCCAUGCGAAGUUCAAGAAACACGUUAAUUGGCCCAGGCGGAAGUACAGGCGCAUGGCGAUGUGGUUCGGAGUAACAGGAGGCGUCAACGCAACGUUUUGAUGGCUGAUGACUUGGAAAAUUCAGAAAGCAUCGAGAAAGAUGUCCUCUCAAGAUCCGUUCUUUUCAUGACUUCGAAGUGCCGCGUCACGACGAAGGGUCACCGAAGAUGAAAUCGGUCAAGAAGGCAGCCUAGAUCUGCAGGAAGUUGUACUACUGGCAGGAAACAAGAUGGAGUUGUAUGUUGUUGAAACCAUUGACGAAUAGCCAUAGAGGAGCGGCCAAAAAAAGUACAAAAUAGUAUUUACUUAAAAUAUAAAUAUAUUUUAUGCAAUAUGAUUUAAGAUGAAUUUGAAAUGCAACACAGCACAAUAAAUCA